AUUGAACGCUGGCGGCAUGCCUUACACAUGCAAGUCGAACGGAUUCAAGAGGCUUGCUUCUUGAGUUAGUGGCGAACGGGUGAGUAAAGCAUCGGAACGUACCCAGUUGUGGGGGAUAACGUGGCGAAAGUUACGCUAAUACCGCAUACGCACUGAGGUGGAAAGCGGGGGACCGAAAGGCCUCGCUCAAUUGGAGCGGCCGAGGUCGGAUUAGCUAGUUGGUGAGGUAAAGGCGCACCAAGGCGACGAGCCGUAGCUGGUCUGAGAGGACGACCAGCCACACUGGAACUGAGACACGGUCCAGACUCCUACGGGAGGCAGCAGUGGGGAAUUUUGGACAAUGGGCGAAAGCCUGAUCCAGCCAUGCCGCGUGAGUGAAGAAGGCCUUCGGGUUGUAAAGCUCUUUCAGACGGAAAGAAAUCUUUCGGGUGAAUAUCCCGGAAGGAUGACGGUACCGUAAGAAGAAGCACCGGCUAACUACGUGCCAGCAGCCGCCGUAA
rnacentral:rRNA from 1 species